rnacentral:rRNA from 1 species
UGUAAAUCAGGGGAAGCAGCGAGGAGAAGACUGAGGGGGCAAGGGGUAUUGAGAAUCAAUGGGCGUAAAGAGUGGUUAGGCGGUGUUAUAAGUCAGAAGUUAAAUCCUAUAGGUUAGCGAUAGAACGGCUUUUGAGACUGUAUACCUAGAAUGUGGGAGAGGUAGAGGGAAUUUCGGGGGGAGGGGUAAUAUCCGUAGAGAUCAGAAGGAAGACCGAUUGCGAAGGCGAUCUACUGGAACAUUAUUGACGCUGAGACGCGAAAGCGUGGGGAGCAAACAGGAUUAGAUACCCCGGUAGUC